rnacentral:rRNA from 1 species
AGGGAAUCUUCGGCAAUGGACGCAAGUCUGACCGGGCAACGCCGCGUGAGUGAGGAAGGUCUUCGGAUCGUAAAGCUCUGUUGCCAGGGAAGAACGCCAGAGAGAGUAACUGCUCUUUGGGUGACGGUACCUGAGAAGAAAGCCCCGGCUAACUACGUGCCAGCAGCCGCGGUAAUACGUAGGGGGCAAGCGUUGUCCGGAAUUAUUGGGCGUAAAGCGCGCGCAGGCGGCCGUUUAAGUCUCAUGUUGAAGCCCGGGGCUCAACCCCGCGGACGCAUGGGAAACUGGGCGGCUUGAGUGUAGGAGAGGAAAGCGGAAUUCCACGUGUAGCGGUGAAAUGCGUAGAGAUGUGGAGGAACACCAGUGGCGAAGGCGGCUUUCUGGCCUAUAACUGACGCUGAGGCGCGAAAGCGUGGGGAGCAAAC